UUAGUCAGAUUGGGUCAUGCACCUAACCAGUGGCGUAACUAUAGUAGGUGCAGCAAGUGCAGUCGCACCAGGGCCCGUGACCUCCCGGGGCCCGCCGUUACCCCCGCCCUGCCUCCUUUUUUUAGAACUUCACCAUUAAGAAUCAAACUAUCAAAUAAAAUCGGCUAAAUCAAAUUACCAUCUUUCUUUGUCGUCAUACUGUUUCGCCAGAGUAUCUUUCUUUCUACUGAGAUGCAGCAAGGAUUUCUGGGUAGGCUAAGUGAUUUGUUGUGAUUUUUUGAAUGGAUGGUGGCUGCACAUUUCAGUCAUCG